rnacentral:rRNA from 1 species
CACCGCGGUUAUACGAGAGGCCCAAGUUGACAAGCCCCGGCAUAAAAAGUGGUUAAUACAGUAUUUCACUAAAGUUAAACAUCUUCAAAGCAGUUAUACGCCCCUGAGGACAGGAAGACCUCCUACGAAAGUGACUUUAAAUAAUAUAACCCCACGAAAGCUAGGAAA